UUUCUCCUGCUCUAGGCCCAGCGCCUUGGACGUGCACAGUAGAUCCCUCCCGGCUUCCCGGCUUCCCGUCUCGUCACCCUCUGGGUCGGUGGACCUGGGUGUCUGUCUGCACAUGUCCUCCAGUGGCCUGGACCUGCCCAUGAAGGUGGUGGACAUGUUCGGGUGCUGUUUGCCUGUGUGUGCCGUGAACUUCAAGUGUUUACAUGAGCUGGUGAAACAUGAAGAAAAUGGCCUGGUCUUUGAGGACUCAGAGGAACUGGCAGCUCUGCAGAUGCUUUUCUCAAACUUUCCUGAUCCUGCAGGCAAGCUAAACCAGUUUUGGAAGAACCUGCGGGAGUCGCAGCAGCUCCGAUGGGAUGAGAGCUGGGUGCAGACUGUGCUCCCUUUGGUUAUGGACAUACAACUCCUGGGCCAGAGGCUAAAACCCCGGGACCCCUGCUGUCCUUCCCGCAGCUUCUUCUCGGAGUCUCAGGGCAAACCCUUUUGAGCAGCGCCUCCCAGUGGCCAGAAGCUGAAAUGACGGCAGUGGUGCCGCCUGGUGAAUGAAUUGGUUCUGUGACCC
rnacentral:lncRNA from 1 species